rnacentral:lncRNA from 1 species
UAUAGGAUGGGAUGAUUUUUCAAAAAUGAUUUCUUAAAAACAGAUAACUAGACAGCAAAAUUAAAUUUUAACUUUUUAAAACCACUUUUGAGCCUUUAAAAAACUAUCCUAAAUGGGCCCUAAAUGAACCAUUUGCUCCUGAAUUAAUAAAAUACCCUCAUAACCACUGAUGUUUGAAAAAAAAAAUUAAUUGUUAGUUUUCAUUUUCAUUAUUUUAUUAAUAAACCUCAAAGAGACAAAUUUCAGGGAGCUAUCUGAUAAUUGACGUGUAAAGCAAACAAAAAUCCAAUUGUUAUAGUUAAUUAGCUAAGCCCAGAAAUUUUAGUACAUAACCUGAUUUCUGGGCUCAAUUUACGCAUCUCGUUUUAUUUCAAUUCGUUGUUAAUUUCUCUAAGAUUUGCUUCUUGGUUUAGCUUGACAUUUCCUCUGUAAUAUUUGAUGUUUUACCAAGUGUUUUCAUCGAUAGAAGUGUGCUUAUUUUCCUUUAAAAUCUGGUGUGAUGUGAGUGCUUCAGUUUUGUUACAGUUGCUUAUUAUGUUUGUUUCAUGAAUUGAUCUCAAUCUUGGGUUCAAGAUUAGGGCCGGUUUCAUUGAUAUUUGAGGUCCUUGAUAUCUCUACAUAUAUAAAUGAUAUGAUUAGGUAUGGUUACCUUUUCUUUAAUCAAUUAAACACAAACUAACUCCAUAAAAUAAUUUAUUGUACCCAAACUUGUCUGAUUUUCAAAAUUGAUCUCUUAAAUUUUUUAAAGACUAAUUACUUUAAAAGAAACUUUCAAAGAUAAUAAAAUAAAGUCAAAUUAAGUGGUCGAGAAAUAACAUGGAGGCGAAUCUUAAUUUUAAAUUAUAAGAAACACAUGUUGUGCUACUCUGGUAUGUAUAAGAGGUAGUUGAUAAGUAACAUCUAAUAUACUUUACAGCAACCCAAAAGUAGUUAUCCAAUACGAAAAAUGAUAGUACGUGAAACAAGUGAAAGGUUAUGGGGAACUAUUUUUGAGUUUGAUGUAAGUUACUUAUGAUGUAACUUAGCAAGACCCUAUGUAAGAAUGUAUUUUAACUAAAGACAUGACUUGUUUAUUCGUAUUUAUAUGUUCAAAGAAUGUGCAAAUAAUUUAAGGAUAAACUUUAACUUACCCUACUUUGAAUAACAAUCUUCAGUAUAUUUUAAAAGUGUAAAAAUAUCAAUUUACCUUCAUUUAUUGCCAAGAAGAUGAUGAUAACAACAACAAUCAAUGCGCCCUCCACUCACCUUCAACUUCUAAACGAAAAUAAAGCUAAAUUAAAGUUGCCACAAUUUUAAAAAUAAAUUAAAAAUUUUCCUCUUACCUGAGUUAUGAAUUAAAGUUUAUCUUAAUUUAAUUUAUCAUUUCGGACAAUUUUUAUAGUUAUAAAAUGCUAUCACCCACUACAUCCAUCAAAUUGUGAAAUCCAAAUCCUAAAACCCCAAAAUCAAAUCUAAUCCAUGUGAAAAGGAAUAUAUAAAUGAAACAAUUUGCAUGCUAAACCUUGUGUCACCCAUGCACACCAUAGAUUUGAAAAAAGAAAAAAUCCUUUAUAAAGAGAGGUUGGAUACUUGGAGUUAGAGAUGGCCAAUGGUGGAGCGGCACAGUACGAGUACGUUUUGUUAUGGCACACAAUAUGGUACACGUAGGCUAGAUUUUAAGUUUUAGGCACACCAGCCUUAAAAGCAAGGGAUAAAGCAUGGUACGUGAAAAAAUCUAUAAAAAACACAAUUCAAAUUUUAUAGCUAAAUUUUAUUUAGAUUAUAAUGUUUCCUAUUAUU